UACGGAGGGGACUAGCGUUGUUCGGAAUUACUGGGCGUAAAGCGCACGUAGGCGGAUUGUUAAGUCAGGGGUGAAAUCCCGAGGCUCAACCUCGGAACUGCCUUUGAUACUGGCAAUCUCGAGUCCGGAAGAGGUGAGUGGAAUUCCUAGUGUAGAGGUGAAAUUCGUAGAUAUUAGGAAGAACACCCGUGGCGAAGGCGGCUCUCUGGGCCUUACCUGACGCUCAGGCGCGAAAGCUAGGGGAGCGAACAGG
rnacentral:rRNA from 1 species